GGAAUAGGCCCCCCUCGGUUGUGAAAAGCAAACAUAUAUAAAGAACAUCGUUGUGUCUCAUCCCAAUUGUUAUGUUAUGUAUUUUUCGCGCCGUAUUUCUAUCCUUUCUUUCCAUGCUUUGCUUUCAUGUUGUCUACAACCUCUUGUAGACCCUUCUUCUCUCCACAGCGCUGGAGAAGCAGUUUUACGCCUUCCCGAAAUUCUAAAUGUAUUUUAAUGCGAUUGUAAUAGAUUUACUGCUGAGUGAGUUGUAUUAAUAUGAUCUGAGAGAUCGUAUAGAUUUUUUUCAGAUAAAUAGCAAUGUCCAAGGAACGAAUGCCCGAAAAACGUAGCAGUUCAGGACACUGAUCCAGAGGAAAAUUCAACUCUACAGAAGUUUAUUCUUCAAACAGGUUUGAUUGACAAACCACGAAACGUCUGACUCCCACAAUCAUAAGGAAGAGUAAAAUGGGUGCCCAUUCAUCAAAAACGGGACGCUAAGGUGACAAUAACGGUAUCUAAGCAAAUUUAAAAAAGAGCGGACCUGGUAAGAACCCGCUAUGGUAAGAAAAAAAACGAUCCUAUAGUGCCACCAAGAUCCCCCGCAGAUAUAGGGCCCUAUUUUAACGGUCUGAAACGCAAGUGGGAAGCGCAAAGCGCAAGUAGCUUUGUGGGCGGUUCUACGGCGCUAUCGCUAUUUUACAGGCGGAUAAAUGACACUUCCGCCGCGGCGCAAGUGUCAAAAGGGUUGGUCUGAAGCAGCCUAAUUACCCGUAGGUGUGGUUUGGGCGUAACGUGCAAUGAACCAACCAACCAAGCGUUUUCUCGCAUCCCCUUUAAGAGCGAUCGGCGCUUGUUCCAUGGCGGAUUGCUAUUAUGAUGGCGGAUUUGCCAGGCGCACGCAAAGAAAGGUUCACCACAGAAGAGACCGAUGUGCUUGUCAGAGCAGUCAAAGAACGCGAGUUGACUUUAUAUGGGGAUGGGAGAAACCCACCCAAAAUUGCUUCGGUGAAAGCGGCUUGGGAGGAAAUCGCCGUAAUUGUUUCAGCAGCUGGACAAAAUAGGACAUCUCUCCAUUGCCGUAAGCGGUACAACGACGUCAGGAGAAGAGGCAAGGCCAAGCUUGCGGCCAACUUGCAAGCACGUCAAAAGACUGGAGGAGGAUCUGGCAGUUACCAGGACCUCACGCCAGCAGAGGAUAUCGCUGCGUCAACACUGACCGCUGAAAGUGUUGAGGGUUUUGGGGGCUUUGAAGUCGGCACCCAACCCGAUGCACCAGCUGUCCAACCCCAAGCUUCUCAGGAAGAAGCCUCGGGACCAGCGCGCACGGGGCAGCUGAGGGAGCCGCGCGGCGCACUCAAGCAAGACGCCGUGGAAGCAGCGCCAGCAGCAUGAGACCGCAGGACCACCCGUUCCUGCAGCUCCAGCAAACCGGGUUCGACAUGCUGGAGCGGGAGCUGGCCGGGAUGCUGCGAAACACCAACACCCGUCUGGACCGGGUGGCGAUGUUGCUGCGGCCUCUCGGGCGCAUCGCCUCAAGUUUGGACCGGAUUGCGACAGCAAUGGAACGUGCAUGGCCCCCAAACGACCCACCUCCUCCGCCUGUUGUGCCCCUUCCUCCCCCUGUUGUACCCCUUCCUCCCCCCAUUCCAUCUCCAUCCACCCGCUCCACCAGGAGCACAUCCAGCAUCGCCACUCCCGGAGAGGAGGGAGAAAAUAAAUAUUUUUUCCUUCAAAUCUUUGCAAC
ensembl:lncRNA